UGAAAUAAAUUUAAUAUAUGUUAAGAAAUAAAUAAUUCCUUCCUUAAGCUAAGUGCAAGUAAUCCUAGAGACUCAAUAACAUUGGGUUUGAGCCCAAUGCCCAGCUGCCAUGCAUGCACCCAAGCACUAUCCACCGUCCGUGGCUCCCCAAGUGAUCCAACGGUUCAAAAAUUUCCAUCUCCGUAUCAUGUUUCCAAACUAAGCAAAAUAGGGGAGACCUUUGUUUUAAAUCCAUAUAUGCCCAUUUUCACAUUAAAAUAAGAGCAA
rnacentral:lncRNA from 1 species